GGCGGGGACCGUAAGGCCUCGCGCGAUUGGAGCGGCCGAUGUCGGAUUAGCUAGUUGGUAGGGUAAGGCCUACCAAGGCGACGAUCCGUAGCGGGUCUGAGAGGAUGAUCCGCCACACUGGGACUGAGACACGGCCCAGACUCCUACGGGAGGCAGCAGUGGGGAAUUUUGGACAAUGGGCGAAAGCCUGAUCCAGCCAUGCCGCGUGAGUGAAGAAGGCCUUCGGGUUGUAAAGCUCUUUCAGGUGGAAAGAAAACGCAUAGGUUAAUACCUUGUGCGGAUGACGGUACCAUCAGAAGAAGCACCGGCUAACUACGUG
rnacentral:rRNA from 1 species